rnacentral:rRNA from 1 species
UACGUUCCCGGACCUUGUACACACCGCCCGUCAAGCCAUGGGAGUUGGGUAGACCUGAAGGCAGUGACCGUCAAAGGAGCUGUUAAGGGUAAAACCAGCGACUGGGGCU